rnacentral:rRNA from 1 species
UACAGAGGGUGCAAGCGUUAAUCGGAAUUACUGGGCGUAAAGCGUGCGUAGACGGUAGCGUAAGUCGGGUGUGAAAGCCCCGGGCUCAACCUGGGAAUUGCAUUCGAGACUGCUCUGCUAGGGUGCGGAAGAGGGAAGCGGAAUUUCAGGUGUAGCGGUGAAAUGCGUAGAUAUCUGAAGGAACACCAGUGGCGAAAGCGGCUUCCUGGUCCAGCACCGACGUCAGGCACGAAAGCGUGGGGAGCAAACAGG